AAACCCAGGCUAAUACCGCAUACGUCCUACGGGAGAAAGGGGGCUUCGGCUCCCGCUAUCGGAUGAGCCUAUGUCGGAUUAGCUAGUUGGUGAGGUAACGGCUCACCAAGGCCACGAUCCGUAGCUGGUCUGAGAGGAUGAUCAGCCACAUCGGGACUGAGACACGGCCCGAACUCCUACGGGAGGCAGCAGUGGGGAAUAUUGGACAAUGGGGGGAACCCUGAUCCAGCCAUGCCGCGUGUGUGAAGAAGGCCCUCGGGUUGUAAAGCACUUUCAGCGAGGAAGAACGCCUAGCGGUUAAUACCCGCUAGGAAAGACAUCACUCGCAGAAGAAGCACCGGCUAACUCCGUGCCAGCAGCCGCGGUAAUACGGAGGGUGCAAGCGUUAAUCGGAAUUACUGGGCGUAAAGCGCGCGUAGGUGGCUUGAUAAGCCGGUUGUGAAAGCCCCGGGCUCAACCUGGGAACGGCAUCCGGAACUGUCAAGCUAGAGUGCAGGAGAGGAAGGUAGAAUUCCCGGUGUAGCGGUGAAAUGCGUAGAGAUCGGGAGGAAUACCAGUGGCGAAGGCGGCCUUCUGGACUGACACUGACACUGAGGUGCGAAAGCGUGGGUAGCAAACAGGAUUAGAUACCCUGGUAGUCCACGCCGUAAACGAUGUCGACCAGCCGUUGGGUGCCUAGCGCACUUUGUGGCGAAGUUAACGCGAUAAGUCGACCGCCUGGGGAGUACGGCCGCAAGGUUAAAACUCAAAUGAAUUGACGGGGGCCCGCACAAGCGGUGGAGCAUGUGGUUUAAUUCGAUGCAACGCGAAGAACCUUACCUACUCUUGACAUCCUGCGAAUUNGGUAGAGAUACCUUAGUGCCUUCGGGAACGCAGAGACAGGUGCUGCAUGGCUGUCGUCAGCUCGUGUUGUGAAAUGUUGGGUUAAGUCCCGUAACGAGCGCAACCCUUGUCCUUAUUUGCCAGCGCGUAAUGGCGGGAACUCUAAGGAGACUGCCGGUGACAAACCGGAGGAAGGUGGGGACGACGUCAAGUCAUCAUGGCCCUUACGAGUAGGGCUACACACGUGCUACAAUGGUCGGUACAAAGGGUUGCCAACUCGCGAGAGUGAGCCAAUCCCGAAAAGCCGAUCUCAGUCCGGAUCGGAGUCUGCAACUCGACUCCGUGAAGUCGGAAUCGCUAGUAAUCGUAGAUCAGA
rnacentral:rRNA from 1 species